rnacentral:rRNA from 1 species
GAUGAACGCUAGCGGCAGGCUUAAUACAUGCAAGUCGAGGGGCAGCAGUUUUGUAGCAAUACAGAAGCUGGCGACCGGCAAACGGGUGCGGAACACGUACAGAACCUUCCUUCGAGCGGGGAAUAGCCCAGAGAAAUUUGGAUUAAUACCCCAUAGUACAACGGAGUGGCAUCACUUUGUUGUUAAAGAUUUAUCACUUGAAGAUGGCUGUGCGGCUGAUUAGGUAGUUGGCGGGGUAACGGCCCACCAAGCCUGCGAUCAGUAACUGGUGUGAGAGCACGACCAGUCACACGGGCACUGAGACACGGGCCCGACUCCUACGGGAGGCAGCAGUAAGGAAUAUUGGUCAAUGGACGAAAGUCUGAACCAGCCAUGCCGCGUGGAGGAUGAAGGUCCUCUGGAUUGUAAACUUCUUUUAUAUGGGACGAAAAAAGGGUUUUCUAACUCGUCUGACGGUACCAUAUGAAUAAGCACCGGCUAACUCCGUGCCAGCCGCCGCGGUAAGAC